rnacentral:rRNA from 1 species
UACGUAGGGGCUAGCGUUAUCCGGAAUUACUGGGCGUAAAGGGUGCGUAGGUGGUUUCUUAAGUCUGAUGUGAAAGCCCACGGCUUAACCGUGGAGGGUCAUUGGAAACUGGUCGACUUGAGUGCAGAAGAGGGAAGUGGAAUUCCAUGUGUAGCGGUGAAAUGCGUAGAGAUAUGGAGGAACACCAGUGGCGAAGGCGGCUUCCUGGUCUGUAACUGACACUGAGGCGCGAAAGCGUGGGGAGCAAACAGGAUUAGAUACCCUGGUAGUCCCU